ACGUAGGAGACAAGCGUUAUCCGGAGUUACUGGGCGUAAAGGGCGUGUAGGCGGCCUUCUAAGUGGGUUGUGAAAGCGACUGGCUCAACCGGUCGAGGCCGACCCAGACUGGGAAGCUAGAGGGCGGUAGAGGGGUGUGGAAUUCCGGGUGUAGUGGUGAAAUGCGUAGAGAUCCGGAGGAACACCAGAGGCGAAGGCGACACUCUAGGCCGCACCUGACGCUGAGACGCGACAGCACGGGGAGCGAACGG
rnacentral:rRNA from 1 species